rnacentral:rRNA from 1 species
CCUACGGGAGGCAGCAGUGGGGAAUAUUGCACAAUGGGGGAAACCCUGAUGCAGCGACGCCGCGUGAGUGAAGAAGUAUUUCGGUAUGUAAAGCUCUAUCAGCAGGGAAGAAAAUGACGGUACCUGACUAAGAAGCCCCGGCUAACUACGUGCCAGCAGCCGCGGUAAUACGUAGGGGGCAAGCGUUAUCCGGAUUUACUGGGUGUAAAGGGAGCGUAGACGGCAGCGCAAGUCUGAAGUGAAAUCCCAUGGCUUAACCAUGGAACUGCUUUGGAAACUGUGCAGCUGGAGUGCAGGAGAGGUAA